rnacentral:tRNA from 1 species
AAAUAAGUGAUACAAAAAGGGGCUUCUAACCUUAUUUUUUAGCAGUGAAACUCUGUUAUUAUUUUU